AGGCCGUAAACAACAUUACAGGGAAAUGAACUCAAGGACAAUCGUUGCUUUAGGAGCUUUGUCAAAGCCACGGUGAGGCUCUGGCUGUUGAGAACCGAGGGCUUCUUCCCGCGGAUGCUUUUUCGGUUUUCCUUUUCUCAGAGCCUCACGGAACAUUUUGGCGUGACAGGGAAAUUCUAUUUAGGAAGAGUGAGGCACAGCACGGCAAAGCUCCCGUCUCCAGAUUAAGUUUCCACAACUGGUAGAAGAGAUGGAGUUACGUGUUGGAAUCCAGUCAACAAACGGGCAGGUCCCAGGCAAAGAACAUGGGCGUUGGCAUGAUAUCUACCACAGCUCUAAUAAGUAGUCAUUUAUAAUAAUAAUGUUCGCGAGAAAAAUGAGUUGCCUGUGCAGGAGACAGUAAGUUCCCCAAAGAGGCGGAAGUAUGGGUCUCCGGAGAAAACCACAAACAUGAGGAAGCUCUAAACCACAGUUGCUGAAAAAAGGCAUUUCUGGAGGACCGUUGGCAAUUGUUGCCAUGUACAGAGGGAAACAUUUCGAUUAAAGUACUAAGUGGGGCCUGGAUCUGAGCACACGGGCCCUGUAAACUCCAACGCUGACGGUCUCCUGCCCAAAGAGUCUGCCCGUUAGAUGUUCUACGGAUAUCUCAAGGAUGACAUACAGUUUAUAUUCAAAGGAUGAAAUCGGAACCAGUCAGAAUUUGGAUCCUGUGUUUUUUGGGAGAUCGUAUUCUGCUGCUUAGAUCCUCAAUCAUUCCUCUCUGAAAGUUCUCUUCCUCUAUGAGGUAUCCUUCCACUCACCCUGUGAAGCCAGUCGACUGAGGACUCUCUUAGGAUCCAGGAAACAAAGACGUUGAAGGAUUCUCUUUACGUUUUCAGAAACGUUACCACAAUAGCACUUCCCAAAUCUUCUCUUUUACAUAUUUUCUGUGAAGUUAUGGAACAUAGGGUUCUAAAGGGUUAUAAAGCAAACUUUCACAUUUCCCGGAAAAUAAAUACAACUGAUUUGGAAACUCUUA